GCGGGGUACUUUGGAGGCAGUGGCACAUGAUGUGUAGCCCUGCUGCUUACGGACUACUUCUCGAAUUAUCUCUCCUUGGCAGAGAUUCUCUGGGACCGGCAAAUACCGUGCUUGCAGAUGUUGCAGGAUUUGCAGCCAGGAAGGACUCCUAGUGACUGCUGUGGUAAAUCCUUGAAAUCCUGCAGCUCGUUGUUGAUGCGAACAUCGUGAAUACAUCCAUGAAAACCAUUUGGUGUCUUAUCUGCACCCUGGCGCAGUGAAGAUAAUCCAGUAGAGUGACUGUUUGUGGCACUUCCAUUGUAGUCUUCAACCACAACGUCUUGGUGCCAGCCAGUGCUGAAAGCUUCAGAAAUGACAAACAGCUUGCUCUUGCCAUAGCCGUAUGACAGAGAAACUGCCUGUGCUGUGCUGAGGUUAACUGCCCUGCUCUGGCAUGCGAGCUUGUGCUUGUCAUGUGGUGGGGUGCUAGUGGACUAUGGAGUAUGAUGCAGAACAGCAGAAGUGUGGAAACAAGGAAGGGGAAAGGCAAGCUGCUAGUUUGCGCCUACCCUCCCUCCCCCGGCAGGUCCUCCCCAAGGGCUGGAAGAUGAUUUGCUUCUGAGAGGACAUGUUAAGAUCUCAAAGUCCAGAGCAACUCAGUAUACCUCCAAU